GCGAACGCUUGCGGCGGGCUUAACACAUGCAAGUCGAACGCACGGCUUCGGUCGUGAGUGGCGGACGGGUGAGUAACACGUAGGUUACCUGCCCUUCGGUGGGGGAUAACUAGGGGAAACUCUAGCUAAUACCGCAUAUGGUCUACGGAUCAAAGCAGCAAUGCGCCGGAGGAUGGGCUUGCGUCCGAUUAAUUAGUCCUAGUUGGCGGGGUAAUGGCCCACCAAGGGUACGAUCGGUAGCUGGUCUGAGAGGAUGAUCAGCCACACUGGAACUGAGACACGGUCCAGACUCCUACGGGAGGCAGCAGUGGGGAAUAUUGCGCAAUGGGCGAAAGCCUGACGCAGCCACGCCGCGUGGGUGAUGAAGGCCUUCGGGUUGUAAAGCCCUGUCGAGGGGGAAGAACACUGACGGUACCCCUCAAGAAAGCGCCGGCUAACCCUGU
rnacentral:rRNA from 1 species